GCUCCGAAUCCGGUUACACAACAAUAACAACAUAGUAAUUUUACAGUAUGAAAAAUACAGUUUCCAAAGUACCAAAAAGAAACCAAAACAGUGUGGGCAUGAAAGUCUUAUUUUGCUAUAAGUAGGUUGUCGGUUGAUUGUAACUAUGACGUGUCUUUAAUAAUCUAACUAAAUUGUAAUUUAUAUCAUUAUUUUUAUUAGUGAUAGCAAAGCUAAUUGUGGUUAAAAAAAUCAAAAUGAUAUAUCCAAGCAAAAAAGUUGUUCACACAAGCACAAAACAAAGAAAAUGUCGUAAACAGUUUAAUUACAUUUGUUGAAUUGACACUAUCUAAGUCUUGUAAAAAAACCAUUACAACAAUAAACACAUUCAUUAUAGACUAAUAAGAAUGAAUAGUACGAUGAAGAGAAUUUAUAUGACUCUGCAGAAGGCAAUAAUAUCAACAGGUGCAAAUUAUUUAAUCAAGGUUACAGAUAAAUUUUUCAUUCCACUUAUUCAAAUAUUAUUGGAUUUUUGCUACUUACGAAGUAAGUAGAUGUAAAUCGUCUGUAAAACCCAAAUACAUUCUGUCUGACAUUUAUUUGACUUUAAAACAAAUAUAACAAAUUCUUCAAAAACCCUUUCGUUUAAAAAAAACAUCUGAUAUGAUUUAAAUUCCUACCCUACAAAACAUAACAUACUAAGUGUUAUGCACGUACUAACUUUGAAAUAGGUAAAGGUUACAUAUUGAAACACAAUGAGUUUGAAAUAGGUAAUAAUUUAAAGGCAGUUAUUUACUCUUUUUGAAAGGUCGAUAACGAUAUCACACUAACUGACCGAGAAAACAAUAAAGUUAAAUUAGUAUUAGUCAUAGACUCGGUUUUCUUUGUAUAUUAUCUCUGUGUGAGUCACAUCGUACAAUUUGCGGGGAAAGUGUAGCCCAGUUGUGACGCAACAAUAAAAAUUGUAUGGACAAAGGAAUUGCUGCAACCAGAUACAUGAGUGACGCGAGGUUCUCGUUUAGGUCACUAACGAGCGCUUGUAAUGACGAACAAUCAUAAGUAAAGAACUUGCGGCUUAAGGGACAUUAAUAACAGAUUUCUUGUUAUCUAAUUCUUAGGGAAGUAGAUUAUUGCUACAAUGUUUUUAGAAAAAGGCCUAACCUCUACCGUUCUUAUUCCUUCUUCAUUAACCUAAAUUAUGGGUUAAAAUUAAUAUCAAAUUAACAAUCUAGAAUCUAAAUGGAUCAACUUGGGUUGUUCUACUGAUUAUCCUGAGGUAAAACCACAUUAAUAAAUUCAGUUACCUGCAUUAUUGUCCGAACCUUUUGCUUACUUAUACCUGCCGACAGUUUCCUUCUGCAUUAACACUUAGAUUAAGUAAAUGAAUGUUACUUGAGAAUCUAGAACAAGUUUGAUAAAUUUGGAUUAGUCUAAUGAUUAUCUUCAGGUAAAACCACAUUAGUAAAUUCAGUUACAUUCAGUGUCAGAAUAUCUUGCUUACUUAUGUCUGCCGACCGUUACACAGAUCGUGAGUAACACUGUUUACUUGUUUGGUUCUGCAAAUCAACAUCGGACGGCGUGGUGUUGUUGCAUCUAUAAAUAAGGAGGUGCUAAAAGCGGCCCGGCCGGGGGACGUGCUUCCUCCGCUUUGAGCGGCCGAGGGGUAAACACGCUCGACUUGGACGUGGCCCUUUGUUGACACUCGGUUUACGGCUCUACCUCGUCGCGGCCUUUAUGGCAUGCGCAAUAAACUGACGCCUGCCGCUGCGUCUGCGACCGUGCGCAGUUGUGUUGUGAUAUGAUCAUGAUCAUGACAAUAUAGAGCCCGGCAAAUAAGUUGAAUCAAAAUGAUAGUAGUCUGCGCAUAAACAGUAUACCAAAGUGUUAGACGCGUAAUCAGUGGUUGCCAGAUACAAUAGAGAUGUAAAAUAAUUGAAAAUUUAGUACGCAUUUGCAAGGCGUCUACGUGUUGCUAUGGUUAUCUCUAAAUCGUAAACACCCAAAAAUUUAUUACUGCAUGUAUAAUUCAACUUACUUACCGCUUACUAUACCUCUAUUGCAUAGAUACAAGGCUGCGGCAGCUGUUACAAACGUUACAAAGAACGCAAUGGCUGAUCUCUUUCUGUCUUCGCAAGCUCUCAAAUAAAUAAUACGUAUACUUUACUAGUUGGUGUAGUACCAUUACUCAUACGGUGUUUACACAUACUCAUAGAUGAAGAAGCACAAAACUCGAUUGUGUUUGAGGACUGGAGGCUGUUGUAGCAAUAACCAUAAAGCAUGCCUACAGCUACCAUUGUCAUAAAUGUCAACGAACCUAAUAUGUGCAUUAGGCGGGGGCGGUCAUUAAUGCAAUAAUACAUGAAGUCGUUAAAUGACUACCAUUUAACAAUUCUCGAAACAUCGUUCUACGUGAUUUCCUGUAUACUCAGCGUUUUGCCUGGGACUCUUAAAUACAAUAUGUUUCCAUUGUUUCGUAUAAUAACGAGAAACAAUCGGCUGAUAGAUAUUCAAAUAGAGGUGAGCGAGCGAUGGAAUUUUUACCAUAGGCGGUGGGUCUCGCAUGGCAAUCGUGGCCCGAGCCCAUCUGCAUGCGCCGGGCUUGUCGCGCGUCCGGUCUUACUCAUCUGACAGACGCGAGGCGAACGAGGCCUUUGCGCCUGCGUUCUUGAUGUUAUUCCCAGCCUUUCGAAAGUCUACCCUCGUAACUUUAGUUUUUUCAUAUGAAAUCAUUUCGCGUUUCACUACGAUCUACCCCGAAGGAACCGGACGGCGCUUGGUUAAAACUCCUAGUCACUCUUGUUUUAAAGAUGUUGAGGUAUGUUAAUAAAAAUAAAAAAGAUAUCGCAAAAUACUUUGUUAGUCUUAGGGACAUUAACGACAUGAGAUGGUGAAAAUAUAACAUCUAUCGGAUGUCUGACUUGCAAUGGUAAAAUGAAGAAAGAGGAACGAAGGCGAAUAGGUCAUGGUUAGUUUUGCCUCUGAAAUAUUGUUACUAUAACACAUAUAAGAGCUCUCAGAAAAGGUAAACAACAACUAGAGAAUUUCUUAUCGCUACACAGCGACGAAUUUCAUUAAUUUAUUCCAUUCAAACAGACUUCAUGCUUUAGUCAUGGCUUUAUUUUUAUUGAAAUUGACGUAUGCUUGAGUAAAUAUCUUUGUAUUUCGUGUUUGGUGCAGUUUGAAUUUCCAAAAUAAGCAAGUAAUCGUAGUCGAAUGUUCUCUUUAUAUCAAAUUUAAAGUAACGCAUAUCAAUAGAUUGACUUACGCGUUAAGUUUUAUCAAUGGUGGCUGGUUAAUCCUAAUUUUAUAUCACACUUAUUUAAUUACACACAUCAUACAUUUAUUCGAUAUGGAUUUAUUUAUAUGAUAUUUACAUUGCAUAUUUACACAUUAAAUCAAUAAAUUACAAUUUGUCAUUUUGAAACAGUCCGUCCAUUCAAGUGCUUUUCAUCAUGGCGUAGCACAAGGUGCUGUAAAUUUAUUUUCGGCGUAAUUAAAUCUCAAUGUUAUUAAUAAAAACAGCUACUAGUAGAUCCGAUCCGAUUAUAGCUUUCGAAAUAUCAUUUGUGACUCGAAUCGUGGCCUAGGCGUUUGAUGGUACGCAUCGUAAGUAUCGGACGCGUCGUACUGUUUAGUGCGAUACGAUUAGGAUGCGAAUAUGUGGACGCCAAUCUUUAAUACUUUAUACUCGCUCACAAUCACUUUGCAGAAAUGACGCUAUGUUUCCUAUUUCUCUCCUAGUAUGGACAGAAUCAUUCGUUCCACUUUCGGUCACAUUAACGGUUCAAUCUAAUUUUGAAGACUCCCAGUACCCGGGCCGAGCAAUUAACAAAUGUUCGUUCCAAUUAUGCGUCUAUCGGAUUUCUAGUCUCUGCGGGAGUAAUGUUCCGUACAAUUGUACGGUUGUCAUGUACACCAAUUACUCAUCGUUAGCAGACGCCGGCGGACCGCUAUUUGUAUUUACGAACGUACUUUUUAUGCGAUUCGUACAUUUCGAACAAAUUGUAAGUGUUAAACUUGAGAAAGGUAUGCUUAGUUAGUAGGAUGAAAGAAAGAAAGCUAACAAAGGGGAUUUAUAAGGUGAAAUGUUGGAAGAAGAAGACCAAGGCCAAUGUCCUGUAUCAUAUCCAGGACAUUCUCAACAAAUGCCAGGUCAAAUAGUACCCUUUACCGACGAACUUUUAUGAAAGGUUUGAUGAAUUAAAGAAACAAGGGAGAUGAGCUAGGAUCGUAACAAGUAGAAGGACGUGGUCCCAACUCUUUUAUAUUCUUUAUAUGUUAGCCCUUGCUUACAAUAUCACUGAUGAUGCAAUCUAAGAUGGAAACUGUCUAAUUAGUUAGCAGAAAGACUAAAAUCUACACCCCUUUCGGUUUCUAUACGACACCGUACCGAAAUGCUAAGUCGCUUGGCGGUUACGUUUUUGCUGGUAGUGUUAACUAGCCACGGUCGAAGCCUCCCACCAACCAGAACUGGACCAAUAUGUAUUAGGAUAGCCUUAAGUAGUUCAAUCGUAUUGAGACGAUUGAUUUUCUCUAUAUCAAAUCUAUUAUUAUUCAUAUUAAUGCUGUUUACUUGUUAUUUUUUUUUAUAAUAAAUGUAACCAUUGUCUUCACUGUUUUGCGAAUAGUCUUCAGUUCAGUUUAUUUACGUUUUUUCCUAUGCUAACUUAAGGCUAAUAAUAAUUAAUAUUUAUUUAUUUAUGUCACAGUAUCUAACAAUGUAAUAUUAUUAUGCAUCGCAUGAGUCAGUAAUCCUUAUUUCUGUUUAAUACUGUAAAUAAACAACGUUUUCCGUGCUAUAAUAACACACGUUUACUAGGUCAUUUGUACGUUCCAUUCUUUUUUUGAAUUUCUAUUAUAAUUAUUACAAUCUGAAAGAAAGUAAUGAUUUUGUAGUCUAAGAUAGAGCUAAUAAAACUCGUCUAUCCAUCGACUUUUUACGCGCAAAAUCCCAUUAUAAAAUGAAUCGCAAUUCUCGUAUUUGUACAUGAAUAACAAAAACAGUCGUCGGAUGUUGUAAUGAUAAGACUCUCGCUGUUAUUAAUGUUCUAGAAUAGGUAUGAAAAAAUAGAGCGAGAUAUUUUUGUUGUUGGUUGUUUUUAUCGACUCUAUUGAGGGAUAUCAAAAUAAUUGGUAACGAUUGUAGAUAUGGACAUAUAAUACGAGUGUUUCUUGCUAAAAUAAUGAAGUUGAACUGGUUUGGAAAUGACUUUUGCCUAACUUUUACUUACUAGUCCGGGUUUAGUUUAGUGGGUUUUUUUUUCUUUUUUACGAUUUAGAAAUAUAGUUCUAACUAUUCGAACUGAAUAAGUUUAGUAUCUGCCACACUUUUUCUAUACCUACUAGUAAAUAUUCAAAUACAACAAGAUAGAAGACGAUCCGUCUUCUUUGGGUUUAAAUUUUUGAUCGUGAAUAAAUAUAUGUAUAAAUUGAGUCAGUAAUUUUUAAAUUUGUUUACAACUUGAAGAUUCUGUAUUCAAUAAACAAUAAUGAACCUCGCGGUUUCGCCCGCGUAAUUUACGUUCUCGUAGGAAUAAGGAGAUACAAUAUAACCUAUCGCACUCGGAGAUAGUGUAGCUUCCAAACAGUGAAAUAAUUGUUCCAAUCGGUUUAGUAGUUUCGCAGUUUAUUAAAUGUAAACAAACAGAUAAUUAAAUCUUUCCUCAUUAUAAUAUUAGUAUAGAUAUACGUACCUGUACGUAGUUGUAGUGUACUUAAAUAGCGUCGUAGCCAUCGGCUUGAAUAGGAAAACAAUGCGCAUGAGUUAGCCGCGUCAGCCGCAGUGCGCGACAACCUCCCUUUUAUGCAAAUCAAAAUAAACAUUGUCUGAGACAAAGGGGCGACAGUUUGAAAGGUUAAUGAUGAUAUUGCCAUUAUAGGCUGCGAGCCGACUCGUCAUUAUCUGUUGCAUUUAAUUUUCCAAUCUUGUCACGUCCCUUUUUGACGUCAACGAUUUGUGAAGCAGAGGGCCUAGUGGCAGUUUGAUACUGUUACUGCCACGUAACGUAAACGCGAAUUUCUAAGGAAUUGAAACAGCGCCAUCUAGUGGCACUACUGCACAAAUGUUUCAAUUCCAUAUAAAUUUGCGUUUACGUCAACGUGAUAGAAACAGUAUGAAAAUACUGAAAACUCGCACUAGGCACACUGAUAUUUAAAUCGCAACAUGGAAUUUGUAUUAGUAUAUUUUUAAUGUAAUUUAAUUUAACGAUAGACAAUUUAAGUCUUAGUGAUGAGAUCGUAGAAAUUUUACAAAAACAUGUUAGAUUAACAUUGUAAGUUGUAACACAUACUUUUCAGUCAGCUUUAAUGAAACUAAUCAGUUACAGUCUACUUUAAUAUUUAAUGUUUAGCACUUUUUCUCGUACAAUUUACAAAAAUAGCAAUUAAAGCAAAGUCUCAUUUAUCAUUAUACCAAAUACAUCUAUAUUAUUUCAGCUCUUUAGCUUUCGCAUGUAUAAAUAAUAUAAUAUAUUUAUUUUUGUAAACUUAAAUCAAUCAGCAAUUUUAAUCACCGACUCCUUGACUAUUUAUUUAUUGGUGGGUCAGAUAAGACGUCGCGAGGGGACCGCUGCAUCUCUGUUAUAUUCGUGCAAUCAUCCAAUAAACGUGAUGGAAGCAAUCGACAAGACCCUCUCCUUCGGUCUUUAGAGAAAUGAACCAAUUUUGAAACCCAUCGCUGACUACCAGAUUCGUGGACCUGUCCUAUAUACAAAGACAAUUAAAUGCCCGCCAAUUCGAAUUGGAGCAGCGGCGUGAGUCAAAGCUCCAUAUCCCCUCCUAUAAGAAGAAAGGCCUAGAUGUGUAGUAGGCUGUUAUUGAAAAUAUUUACCUUUAUUCUUUACUAUGAUACCGGUGUCAUUUAAGCGCCAUCAAGUAACUAGUUUUAAUUAAGUAUUUUAGAUAAAUUACAUCAUCGAAUCCAAAAGAUAUGUAGGCAGUUAGGUAUAUCUUGCUUGUAAUCGUCAGACCACAAAUCACAUUUGACCGUUAAUCUAAAUAUUAUCUUGUGUAUCUUAAUGAAAAUAUAUCCAUUCGAUACCGCGACGAAGACCAAGUGUUUAAAGUCGUUAAAAGUUCAUUUAAAUAUAGAACGCAUUUGAUUAGAGCCAAUUAACGUUCAAUUAAGCUACGACUCUCUUGUUUGACUCUGUCGUUGGAUCAAUUGUCGCGAGAGUCUUCGUAAUGGCCCCGGAGCGCGCUCCCCGUAUUGUGUUACAGGAAAUAAUGAAUAAAAGACGUUGGACGUAAUAAAACACAUUAAGCUCGACUUGGAAGAAAUUUCCCUGCGAAGCUUUACGUACCUACUCUU